CCUACGGGAGGCAGCAGUAGGGAAUCUUCCACAAUGGGCGAAAGCCUGAUGGAGCAACGCCGCGUGUGUGAUGAAGGCUUUCGGGUCGUAAAGCACUGUUGUAUGGGAAGAAAUGCUAAAAUAGGGAAUGAUUUUAGUUUGACGGUACCAUACCAGAAAGGGACGGCUAAAUACGUGCCAGCAGCCGCGGUAAU
rnacentral:rRNA from 1 species